GACGAACGCUGGCGGCGCGCCUAACACAUGCAAGUCGAACGAACGAGAGAGAGCUUGCUUUCUUGAGCGAGUGGCGAACGGGUGAGUAACGCGUGAGGAACCUGCCUCAAAGAGGGGGACAACAGUUGGAAACGACUGCUAAUACCGCAUAAGCCCACGACCCGGCAUCGGGUUGAGGGAAAAGGAGCAAUCCGCUUUGAGAUGGCCUCGCGUCCGAUUAGCUAGUUGGUGAGGUAACGGCCCACCAAGGCGACGAUCGGUAGCCGGACUGAGAGGUUGAACGGCCACAUUGGGACUGAGACACGGCCCAGACUCCUACGGGAGGCAGCAGUGGGGAAUAUUGCACAAUGGGGGAAACCCUGAUGCAGCGACGCCGCGUGGAGGAAGAAGGUCUUCGGAUUGUAAACUCCUGUUGUUGAGGAAGAUAAUGACGGUACUCAACAAGGAAGUGACGGCUAACUACGUG
rnacentral:rRNA from 1 species